CAGAAGAUAGUUUAUAAAAAUUUUAAUUUUGGAGAUUAAAGAUAAGAAUUUUUUCUUUCUUCUGA
rnacentral:tRNA from 1 species